rnacentral:rRNA from 1 species
GUUUGAUCCUGGCUCAGGACGAACGCUGGCGGCGUGCCUAAUACAUGCAAGUCGAACGAACUCUGGUAUUGAUUGGUGCUUGCAUCAUGAUUUACAUUUGAGUGAGUGGCGAACUGGUGAGUAACACGUGGGAAACCUGCCCAGAAGCGGGGGAUAACACCUGGAAACAGAUGCUAAUACCGCAUAACAACUUGGACCGCAUGGUCCGAGCUUGAAAGAUGGCUUCGGCUAUCACUUUUGGAUGGUCCCGCGGCGUAUUAGCUAGAUGGUGGGGUAACGGCUCACCAUGGCAAUGAUACGUAGCCGACCUGAGAGGGUAAUCGGCCACAUUGGGACUGAGACACGGCCCAAACUCCUACGGGAGGCAGCAGUAGGGAAUCUUCCACAAUGGACGAAAGUCUGAUGGAGCAACGCCGCGUGAGUGAAGAAGGGUUUCGGCUCGUAAAACUCUGUUGUUAAAGAAGAACAUAUCUGAGAGUAACUGUUCAGGUAUUGACGGUAUUUAACCAGAAAGCCACGGCUAACUACGUGCCAGCAGCCGCGGUAAUACGUAGGUGGCAAGCGUUGUCCGGAUUUAUUGGGCGUAAAGCGAGCGCAGGCGGUUUUUUAAGUCUGAUGUGAAAGCCUUCGGCUCAACCGAAGAAGUGCAUCGGAAACUGGGGAACUUGAGUGCAGAAGAGGACAGUGGAACUCCAUGUGUAGCGGUGAAAUGCGUAGAUAUAUGGAAGAACACCAGUGGCGAAGGCGGCUGUCUGGUCUGUAACUGACGCUGAGGCUCGAAAGUAUGGGUAGCAAACAGGAUUAGAUACCCUGGUAGUCCAUACCGUAAACGAUGAAUGCUAAGUGUUGGAGGGUUUCCGCCCUUCAGUGCUGCAGCUAACGCAUUAAGCAUUCCGCCUGGGGAGUACGGCCGCAAGGCUGAAACUCAAAGGAAUUGACGGGGGCCCGCACAAGCGGUGGAGCAUGUGGUUUAAUUCGAAGCUACGCGAAGAACCUUACCAGGUCUUGACAUACUAUGCAAAUCUAAGAGAUUAGACGUUCCCUUCGGGGACAUGGAUACAGGUGGUGCAUGGUUGUCGUCAGCUCGUGUCGUGAGAUGUUGGGUUAAGUCCCGCAACGAGCGCAACCCUUAUUAUCAGUUGCCAGCAUUAAGUUGGGCACUCUGGUGAGACUGCCGGUGACAAACCGGAGGAAGGUGGGGAUGACGUCAAAUCAUCAUGCCCCUUAUGACCUGGGCUACACACGUGCUACAAUGGAUGGUACAACGAGUUGCGAACUCGCGAGAGUAAGCUAAUCUCUUAAAGCCAUUCUCAGUUCGGAUUGUAGGCUGCAACUCGCCUACAUGAAGUCGGAAUCGCUAGUAAUCGCGGAUCAGCAUGCCGCGGUGAAUACGUUCCCGGGCCUUGUACACACCGCCCGUCACACCAUGAGAGUUUGUAACACCCAAAGUCGGUGGGGUAACCUUUUAGGAACCAGCCGCCUAAGGUGGGACAGAUGAUUAGGGUGAAGUCGUAACAAGGUAACC